rnacentral:tRNA from 1 species
GCCGAGGUGGCAGAAUCCGGUAACGCGCCAGACUUGAGAUCUGGUGCCCGCAAGGGCUUAGGAGUUCAAAUCUCUUCCUCGGCG